rnacentral:lncRNA from 1 species
GUUGGUAUUUAGUAAAACUGGGUGGAUCUGAAUAGUUGAUAUAUUAUAUUUGUAACCUAAAAUAUCAUUUGGUUUAGAAAUAGAUAUAAAUUGAGGUAUAACUAGAGAUUAGAUCAAUUUUGUAUUUGAAUAAAAAUUGGGUUAUUCAUGAGAAUAAAAAAAAUAACGUUUGGUCAGGUAAGAUGGAAUAAGAAUUAAAGUGAGUAGUUAUAAAUAAAAAAUAAUGAUAUUAUUCUUUUCUUUAUAUUAGAAUUUGAAUUUUUAUAUUUUUUAUUUCUAUUUUAGA